AGAGGAUCUGCCAGAGGCGAUGCAGAUACAGAGGAGAGGGAUCGACCGGAGUUGCGGGCGCAGGAUCCGGGUCGAGCCUAGGCGCAGCGGCGCUCGAUACAGAGGAUGCGACGCGGGAUACAGAGGGGCGGGCGGUUUGUGUCGAUCGAGUGGAGGCGCGGGAUCCAGCCGAGGCGCUCGAGCGGAGGCGCGGGAGGAUGAUGCCCUUCCCUUCGCGCCCCACUCCCGCCGCCGGCCACAUCUGGCCGCCUCAGAACUCCUCGCCCUCAUGUCUUGCUUCAUAUGUUCCCAUCCCCAUCCCUUCUGCAGCCAUGUUCACUCCUCAGGAUGUGCUCGACGGCGUGUGCGCCAACGCACGGUGAGGUCAGGCAGCUGGUAGAGUAUAUUGGUUAGUUGACAAAGACUGCAACUGCAACGGAACAUGUAGCAUGUGCAACUCUCCUAACCUCAGGCAGCCUCCAUCUGUUCCAGCCUCAGGCAGAAGCAGUGUUUGCUUGCUCUGCUUCACAACGAUGCUUGGUCCAUGUCUCUCCCAUGACAACCGCCUAGGGAAAACGAUAACCAUCUGGACCAUGUUGGCACUAGAUGGUGUAGCGUUAGCGUAGCAUAACUUGUACUCCCUUCAUCCCAAAUUACUUGUCACAGAAAUGAAUAAAAAUGAAUGUAUCUAGAACUAAAAUACAUCUAGGUACAUCCAUUUCUCCGACAAGUAUUUCCGGACGGAGGGAGUAUGUAUUUCCUGAUGCCUCUCAACCAUAUACGUACAACAAGUGAACAUCAAGAUA